GACGAACGCUGGCGGCGUGCUUAACACAUGCAAGUCGAACGGAAAGGCCCUGCUUUUGUGGGGUGCUCGAGUGGCGAACGGGUGAGUAACACGUGAGUAACCUGCCCUUUACUUUGGGAUAACUUCAGGAAACUGGGGCUAAUACCGGAUAGGAGCUCCUGCUGCAUGGUGGGGGUUGGAAAGUUUCGGCGGUUGGGGAUGGACUCGCGGCUUAUCAGCUUGUUGGUGGGGUAGUGGCUUACCAAGGCUUUGACGGGUAGCCGGCCUGAGAGGGUGACCGGCCACAUUGGGACUGCGAUACGGCCCAGACUCCUACGGGAGGCAGCAGUGGGGAAUCUUGCACAAUGGGCGGAAGCCUGAUGCAGCGACGCCGCGUGCGGGAUGACGGCCUUCGGGUUGUAAACCGCUUUCGCCUGUGACGAAGCGUGAGUGACGGUAAUGAGUAAAGAAGCACCGGCUAACUACGUG
rnacentral:rRNA from 1 species